rnacentral:lncRNA from 10 species
GGUGGGGGAGAGGGGAGCGGGGCCGACACAGGGUUCCUGACCAAGCUGGUGCUUCUGCGUGUGUUCCUGCAUGACUUGGUGUGUCCCCUUCUCUUGGAUCUACUGCAGUUGACAGCAGAUAACUGAAAGCUCGGAAAGCGAAACCGUGGAUAAGCAGGGGAACUGUGGCAUCCCAUUUAAAAUUGCUUCUGAAGAGAAGCAUGAGGUUACAUCUGUAAUCUCCCUGCAGCAGAGUCAACUGCAUAAGAAACCAAAAGACACACCUGCUCCAUGCCAGCUUCGAUAAUUUCUUUGUACCUUCGGCGAAAGAAGCCCAUCUGAAAGGCAGAAAGAAAGAGAAGCUGAGUUAGAAGUGCUGAAGAAUCAGCCAUUGUGACCCCAAGGCAGUCUGUCCCUGGGUAGGUGUGACCUGCACUCACAGGGCUGGGGAGGCUUGGAGGACCCCUCGGAUUAGAGAAAACACUGGCAAGAAAAACAUCCUGUGGAGACAUUUUUCAAAAUGCAUGGACUUCCUGCGGGUGAUAUUACCCUAAGCCACCACAUAAAAAGUCAGACCAUCUGCUGGAAGAACCACAUGGAGAGGCCCUGAGUCAACAUGGAGAGGAAGAAGGACUUGACUGAAUCCAGCCUUCCAGCUGUCCCUACCAAGGUGCCAGGCAUGAGAAUGAAGCUGUCUUGAACUCUGAAGACCAGCUUAGCCACCAGGUAAAUGCCACUAAGUGACCUCACUCAAUGUCAUGUGGGACGGAAGAAUCACCCCGCCAAACCCUUCCUGGAUCCCUGACCCAGAAAUUUGUCAGAUGUAAUGGUUGUGAAAAGCCAUUCAAUUUGGGGGCAGUUUGUAUGCAGCAUAGCUAGCUGGUAUGAUACAACAGCCUGCAAUUCAGGCAGCAGCAGCACUAACAACGAUGAA